UACAGAGGGUGCAAGCGUUGUUCGGAAUUAUUGGGCGUAAAGCGCGUGUAGGCGGCUUUGCAAGUCGGGUGUGAAAUCCCACGGCUCACCCGUGGAACUGCUCGGUAUACUGGGUCGCUUGAGCCACUUAGGGGCUACCGGAACAAAUGGUGGAGCGGUGAAAUGCGUAGAUAUCAUUUGGAACGCCAAUGGUGAAAACAGGUAGCUGGGAGUGUGCUGACGCUGAGACACGAAAGCCAGGGGAGCAAACGGG
rnacentral:rRNA from 1 species